rnacentral:tRNA from 1 species
AAGUAAUGAAGUAAAAAUUACAUUUAGUUUCGACCUAAAAUUAAGAGAAUAAUUCUCCUUGCUUA